rnacentral:rRNA from 1 species
CAUCCAAUUUGGGAUAAAAUCUGGGGUCUCAAAGUGGCCCCUAAGGUAAAAAUCUUUCUUUGGAGAGUUAUGCAUAAUACUAUUCCUUGUCGGGUUGCUUUGGCGAAUUGUCAUAUUAAAGUGAGUGGGCAAUGCCCAGUCUGUGGGAUUGGAGCGGAAGACAUUAAGCAUCUCCUGUUCAAGUGUAGCCGAGAAAAGCACGUAUGGCAAACGGGUAUUGAUGACUUAAUUGAGAAAUUUUGUCUUGUUCAUCGUCCAGGACAGUCUGUUCUAGAGGAAUUGGUGUACUCAAGUCCUGAUCAGUCUAUGUUUUUGGGACAAGCCCCAAUGGCAGAGCUUGUUGCAGUGGCAUGUUGGUAUUUAUGGUGGGAAAUAAGGCAAAUUAGUCGUAAUAUUUAG